rnacentral:misc_RNA from 1 species
AAGGAGUCUAACAUAUCUGCGAGUAUUUGGGUGUCAAACCCGAGUGCGCAAUGAAAGUGAACGUAGGAGCCACGCGCAAGCUGCAACUUCGACCGAUCUGGAUCUUUAGUGAUGGAUUUGAGUAAGAGCAUAUAUGUUGGGACCCGAAAUAUGGUGAACUAUGCCUGAAUAGGGCGAAGCAAGAGGAAACGCUGGUGGAGGGUCGUAGCGAUUCUGACGUGCAAAUCGAUCGUCAAAUUUGGGUAUAGGGGCGAAAGACUAAUCGAACCAUCUAGUAGCUGGUUCCUGC